UUACGGCCACAUCACGUUGAAAUCCCGGUUCUCGUACGACCAUCGAAGUUAAGCCACGUCGUGACUGGUCAGUACCUAGAAGGGUGACCGCUUUGCAAUACGAGGUGCUGUAAG